CAGCAACAAUGACCCCAGUCACUCCCACCCCAAAGCCAGGGAAACAUCAUCUUGUCACCUCUGGAUUUCUCCUCACCCCCUUGGGUUAAAGCUGAGCAGACAGGGUGGCACUUCUGAAUUCAGAGGCUGCAAUGAGCUGAGAAAAACAAGCAUCUGUGGCCCCCUCCAGGACCCACCAAGUAGAGGGGAUGUUGCCCCGGGUGCUGCAGGAGGUGGGAAGGGGACUCCAAGGAAGUUGUCCUCCCUAGAGAGUCCAUCAGCAAAUUGUCUCAUGUAGCCAUAACAGCCAGGAGCAAGGCAGGGAAGGAGGGUUUUGUCUAAGGAAAACCAGUGUAUUGUAAACAGGAUAAAAGGGGCUGGAAAGCCCCACUUAUCACUGACUAAUAUGUCCCCAGGUCAUCGGGGAGCUGGACCCCUACCAGCAGCCCUGAGGAGGGAAAGAAUUCCCGAUUAACCCCAUCACCUGUGAGCUGGGCCAGGGCAAAGGUCUGGCUUUUUCUCUUGCUAAAUGAUUCCCAUGGUCAUUAGGCAUUCGCAGGGCUCAGCAGCAUUUCUAGGAAGCCCUCCCAGACUAGAGAAAUGCCUUCUGCACCCGCUGCUCUUUGGGGCCAUACGGAGCAGGGAGUAGGUGUGCACAUCCUUGGGACAGCAGGAGAGGAGGUGUGAGGAAGGCAGAGGUGGCAUGAGGCUAGGGGAAGCUGCAGGGGGAGGAUGGUGGUCUUCUGGUCAAUCGUGGGUGUGGAACAGACUUGUGUGUCACAUCAAGCGAUGGGGGUUGGCCUAGUGUAGACUUGAGGGGCUGGCUGAGAGAUUGGUCACUCUGGGCUCUCACUAAUAAUGAUCUCAUUCAUUCCUUACGAGCUCCUCAUAUCCAGAUGAGAAACAACACUGAGACUCAGCCGGGUUACGUAAAACAUCCAAAGCUAUGCAGCAGGCUGAUGGCCAGCUGAGACCUAAAUUUAGGCCUCACUGACUCCUACCUUGGGCAUGUAAGCACCAGUUGGAUCAGAUACACCAGGGAAACUGAGGCCCAGAAAGGGAUGUGAUCUGCCCGAUUGUGCAGAAUUCAGAGCCCAGCUGGAACCUGAAUGUCCUGACCCCCCAUCCAGUGCCCCCCUUCCUACUCUAUGCUGCCUCUCGGGUGACACACACAGCAGCAAGUGAGCCCUGCAGACAGAGACAUUCUAGAACCCAGGCCUGGGACCAGUGCUCAGGAGCCAUACUCUCAGCUAGAUUGCCUUCAGCCUGCCAGGAGGAGGAGCAGCCCAGUCCAGACUGAAAGCCUCCAAGGAGGAAGUUCUACCGGCUUCUCCAUGCCUCCAAACCCACUGUACCUUGUGCAUUCCAUCUGGAAUUUUCUUCUGUUGAAAGGAAGGUGCUGGGUGGGAGGAGGAGGGAGAGGAUCAGGAAAAAUAACUAAUAAAUACUAGGCUUAAUAUCUGACACAAGUUUACGUAUAUAACAAACCUGCACAUGUACCCCUGAACUUAAAAGAAAAGUUAAACAAAAAAUAAAGGUGCUGUUGCCAUGGCCCAAGCCACAGCGUCUAGAGCUGUGCCAUCCAAUACGCUAGCUGUUAGCCACAUGCAGCUCCUGAGUACUUGAAACGUGGCUAGAGCAAAUCGAGAUGUGAUGUCACUGUAAAGCAUACACUGGCUUUCGAAGACAGUACAGAAAAAGGUAAAAAGAGAUGGAGGUUUCACUAUGUUGCCCAGGCUGGUAUUGAACUCCUGAAUUCAACCGAUCCUCCUGCCUCAGCCUCCC
rnacentral:lncRNA from 1 species